UGUUGCCCUUCUCUCAAUUGUCUGGAAGAAGCCAUGCCGCGUGAAGGAUAAGGUCCUCUGGAUUGUAAACUUCUUUUAUCUGGAACGAAAAAAGGCGAUUCUUCGUCACUUGACGGUACCAGAUGAAUAAGCACCGGCUAACUCCAUGCCAGC
rnacentral:rRNA from 1 species